GAAGCCUGUGUGCUUGCCUAAUGUGUGCAUAAGAGCCACCCAUCCCAGAUGUCAGUGGUGGGUGAUGUCCAGCCCUGGCUGGGAGUAUCAGCCUCUAGGAGCCUUCUCUGAGGUCACAGCCCAGGGUUUCUCAUGAGGAGGAUGGGCCAUAGGACAGCAUAGGCUCACUUCAGACAGAUAGGAGAUGACUCAGGUGGCCAGGCUGCCCAUCACACCGGGCGCCCAGCUCCACCCACCGAGAGGAGCUUGUGGGCCCCUGAGACUUCUACGUCUUGUUCAUCUUUUGUUGCAAACUUCAACCUCUAUGGAUCUGACACAGUUUCACUUUUGCAUACACAGUUUGCCUCAAUCAAAAGCCACAGUAAAGUCGACUAUGCACGCAUUUUUCCCGUUCUGUAUUUUUGCCCAGGAAGCUCCUGGAAUUUUCCAGAUAACAACCUUGAGCAUGACGGAAAGUCUGAGGCAAGACUUUCCCACGAAAGUACCACUUCUGUGCACGGAGGGAUUGGUGCGCGGUGCUGACGAGGCCUGGGCCACUUUGGUUUUCUUGGCAAGAAGACCGUUGUCAGUGGUAUGUGGGAUAGAGAGAGAAAACACUAGAAUCUCCAGAGAACCCCUGUGUAAUUUCACAGAAUUGGGUCACCGUGCUAUGGAGUGUUUUUUGUUUUGCCCCCCCCCCCUCCCCCAGGAGACAGGGUUUCUUUGUGUAGCCCUGGCUCUCCUCCAACAAGCCAGCCUCCAACUCAGAGAUGCACUUGCCCCUGCCUCCCAAGUGCAGGGAUUAAAGGUGUGCACGACCACUGCCUGGGAAGUGGGAAGUGUUUUUCUGUUUGUUUUAAAUAAAAAUGCAGUCAUGUCUUUCAUUGGUAGCAGACUUGGCGUGAUCCCUUGGGAGGUCACGACACUACGGCCCCCAUUCUUUCUGACCUCUAUGCUGGGAUGGGAUUCUGCUUAAGGCAGCGCCUGAAAGGCAGGAGGGCCUCAAAAGUGUUUGCUCACAGAGCACAACCCUCUUGCGAGUAGAGGUGACAGGCUUUGCUUCCCGAAUGUCUAACACAUUUCUCAGGGCACGAAUGCUUGCAGGGUGUCAGACGGCCCAGAGGAACUUCUCUUAUAAAGGAGGACGGUGGUCUUUUGUGAAAGGGGAGAAGAGUGAGUGAGGCUGUGAGAACCAGAGACCUUUCUGCAGGCAGAGGCUGAGCAGAGCCAGCCCAGAAGUGCUAGAAGGAAGAGGUUCCCGAGUAGCUGUCGUGUCAGGUGAGCGCCCGGCUCGGUGACUCCUCCACCACCACCUCCUCCCUGACUCCCACAGAGAUUCUCAGUUCCUUCCCCAUGAGCACCGAGGAUUGACCUCUAAAAUCACGAGGCAAAGCUCUUUGUAGAACUACAUCUUAGAUGCAAGGCCUCAACUGGGACAUCUGU
rnacentral:sRNA from 1 species